rnacentral:rRNA from 1 species
AAUAGAUACCCCGGUAGUCCACGCCGUAAACGGUGGGCACUAGGUGUGGGCGACAUUCCACGUCGUCCGUGCCGCAGCUAACGCAUUAAGUGCCCCGCCUGGGGAGUACGGCCGCAAGGCUAAAACGUCAAAGGAAUUGACGGGGGGCCCGCACAAGCGGCGGAGCAUGUGGCUUAAUUCGACGCAACGCGAAGAACCUUACCAAGGCUUGACAUACACCGGAAACGUCCAGAGAUGGGCGCCCCCUUGUGGUCGGUGUACAGGUGGUGCAUGGCUGUCGUCAGCUCGUGUCGUGAGAUGUUGGGUUAAGUCCCGCAACGAGCGCAACCCUUGUCCCGUGUUGCCAGCAGGCCCUUGUGGUGCUGGGGACUCACGGGGAGACCGCCGGGGUCAACUCGGAGGAAGGUGGGGACGACGUCAAGUCAUCGAUGCCCUUAUGUCUUGGGCUGCACACGUGCUACAAUGGCCGGUACAAUGAGCUGCGAUACCGCGAGGUGGAGCGAAUCUCAAAAGCCGGUCUCAGUUCGGAUUGGGGU